rnacentral:rRNA from 1 species
GAUGAACGCUAGCGGCAGGCUUAAUACAUGCAAGUCGUGGGGCAGCGCAGGUAGCAAUACUGGGCGGCGACCGGCAAACGGGUGCGGAACACGUACACAACCUUCCGAGAAGUGGGGAAUAGCCCAGAGAAAUUUGGAUUAAUACCCCGUAACAUAACGAUGUGGCAUCACAUUGUUAUUAUAGCUUCGGCGCUUCUUGAUGGGUGUGCGGCUGAUUAGAUAGUUGGCGGGGUAACGGCUCACCAAGUCUACGAUCAGUAGCUGAUGUGAUAGCAUGAUCAGCCACACGGGCACUGAGACACGGGCCCGACUCCUACGGGAGGCAGCAGUAAGGAAUAUUGGUCAAUGGACGCAAGUCUGAACCAGCCAUGCCGCGUGAAGGAUUAAGGUCCUCUGGAUUGUAAACUUCUUUUAUCUGGGACGAAAAAAGGCGAUUCUUCGUCACUUGACGGUACCAGAUGAAUAAGCACCGGCUAACUCCGUGCCAGCAGCCGCGGUAACAC